UCGGGAAUAUUGCGCAAUGGAGGAAACUCUGACGCAGUGACGCCGCGUGCAGGAAGAAGGUUUUAGGAUUGUAAACUGCUUUAGACAGGGAAGAAAAAAGACAGUACCUGUAGAAUAAGCUCCGGCUAACUACGUGCCAGCAGCCGCGGUAAUACGUAGGGAGCGAGCGUUAUCCGGAUUUAUUGGGUGUAAAGGGUGCGUAGACGGGAAUACAAGUUGGUUGUGAAAUCCCUCAGCUCAACUGAGGAACUGCAACCAAAACUAUAUUUCUUGAGUACUGGAGGGGAAAGUGGAAUUCCUAGUGUAGCGGUGAAAUGCGUAGAUAUUAGGAGGAACACCGGUGGCGAAGGCGACUUUCUGGACAGUAACUGACGUUGAGGCACGAAAGUGUGGGGAGCAAACAGG
rnacentral:rRNA from 1 species